rnacentral:lncRNA from 1 species
UGAAGCGUACGGUCUGACUGAUGGCCUAGGAUGGAUGCCAAGAGCCCUGCCGACCACCCCCGCUUCUUCCGCUGCUGGGCUCUCUGACCUUCUACACGCCAUUUAUUUUGUCUGUGCCUCAAUUUCUCCAUCCUGAAAAUAAGAAUCUUACUGCUGAGGGGACAUUAUGAGGAUUAAUGAGGAUCUUAUCCCUUUUUUAAAGGGAUACUCCAAGGCAGUGUAUGGUUGCGUGUUUGCUGUUGGUUGCUCUUUAGAAUUCAGGCUCUACAGAUCAGUGUGCUGGGGGGAAAAAAAAAACAAACCCAUAAGGAAGUAUCAACUCGACUGCUACCUUGGAAAAGAGUCCUGCAGCGAGCUUGUUUGUCACAGGACUGAGGAAGGAAGAUGCGGGUGACAGGUUCUUCCAGAGACCUCCAAAGUAGGACACAGCCGCCUCCUCCUGUGCCUUCUCUGAGCAGGGCUGCUGGGUCCCCACUGCCUUCAAUGGCGCUCCUGAGCCCUGCUGAGCCUGCACCUGCCCCAGGACCUUGGUACGUGCUUUCCCCUACAAUCCCCUAUGUAGGCAGGUCUCUGUUUGCAGGCAGCUCAUCAGAGAGACUUGUCUCGAUGCUCAUAGCCUCGUCUUUCCAUCCUCUGUCCUCCAAGUGUGGAUUACCUUGACGGCACUGUUCUUUCCCGGAUGUGUCCUGUUUGGCUUAAUACCCCUUUCUCCAACUAGAAUGAAAGCUGCCUGUGGGCAGGGGUUUGUUUGGCUUGUUCACGGCACUGAACGAGCUUCCACACUGAGGGCCCUGGAGAACCAUUAAUGAACCAUGACCAAAGCAAAAUACAGAAGGCAUGGCGGUAGAAAUUGAGACUGCGGGUGCUCUGAGACACACAUGUGACAUGGUAGACCACACACACACACACACACACACACACACACACACACACAGUGUGGGCAGUGACAGCAUCCAAGAGGAGAAGACCUUAGCCUGAGCCCCACUCAGACCCUCCAAGUCAAGAAACAGCUCUGUCUGUGCCUUCCACUAACAGUGAUUGUUGGUCAUAAAACUUCAAAGAAACAGAUAUUUAUAGCUUGAUUAAGGCCCUUGUUUUUUUUCCACACACACACUCACCACAGCACUUUCCAACU